rnacentral:rRNA from 1 species
ACGGGGGGCUACGGGAGGCAGCAGUGGGGAAUAUUGCACAAUGGGGGAAACCCUGAUGCAGCGACGCCGCGUGAGUGAAGAAGUAUUUCGGUAUGUAAAGCUCUAUCAGCAAGGAAGAUAAUGACGGUACUUGACUAAGAAGCCCCGGCUAACUACGUGCCAGCAGCCGCGGUAAUA